AAAGUCGUAACAAGGUUUCCGUAGGUGAACCUGCGGAAGGAUCAUUAACUAUGGUGGGGAAAGGGGAAAUUGUUGUUGAGGUAUUACCCAGCAACGAUAUCCACAUUACAUUAACCCGGUGGGUGCGUGAGGUGAGGUUAAAGCAAAGCGAAGCGGUGCUUAGCCAAGCCCAUAGCAACAUAAACACCAUUUAAUUUGACAUGGACGCACAAUUAAACACAUAACUUUUAACAAUGGAUCUCUAGGCUCUU
rnacentral:misc_RNA from 1 species